rnacentral:rRNA from 1 species
GUUUGAUCCUGGCUCAGGACGAACGCUGGCGGCGUGCCUAACACAUGCAAGUCGAACGGAGUUGAAAAGAGCUUGCUUUUUUCAACUCAGUGGCGGACGGGUGAGUAACGCGUGAGUAACCUGCCUUUCAGAGGGGGAUAACGUUCUGAAAAGAACGCUAAUACCGCAUAAGAUUGUAGCUUCGCAUGGAGCAGCAAUCAAAGGAGCAAUCCGCUGAAAGAUGGACUCGCGUCCGAUUAGAUAGUUGGCGGGGUAACGGCCCACCAAGUCGACGAUCGGUAGCCGGACUGAGAGGUUGAUCGGCCACAUUGGGACUGAGACACGGCCCAGACUCCUACGGGAGGCAGCAGUGAGGGAUAUUGGGCAAUGGGGGAAACCCUGACCCAGCAACGCCGCGUGAGGGAUGACGGUUUUCGGAUUGUAAACCUCUGUCCUCUGUGAAGAUAGUGACGGUAGCAGAGGAGGAAGCUCCGGCUAACUACGUGCCAGCAGCCGCGGUAAUACGUAGGGAGCAAGCGUUGUCCGGAUUUACUGGGUGUAAAGGGUGCGUAGGCGGAUUGGCAAGUCAGAAGUGAAAUCCAUGGGCUUAACCCAUGAACUGCUUUUGAAACUGUUAGUCUUGAGUGAAGUAGAGGUAGGCGGAAUUCCCGGUGUAGCGGUGAAAUGCGUAGAGAUCGGGAGGAACACCAGUGGCGAAGGCGGCCUACUGGGCUUUAACUGACGCUGAGGCACGAAAGCAUGGGUAGCAAACAGGAUUAGAUACCCUGGUAGUCCAUGCCGUAAACGAUGAUUACUAGGUGUUGGAGGAUUGACCCCUUCAGUGCCGCAGUUAACACAAUAAGUAAUCCACCUGGGGAGUACGACCGCAAGGUUGAAACUCAAAGGAAUUGACGGGGGCCCGCACAAGCAGUGGAGUAUGUGGUUUAAUUCGACGCAACGCGAAGAACCUUACCAAGUCUUGACAUCCCUUGACGAACAUAGAAAUAUGUUUUCUCUUCGGAGCAAGGAGACAGGUGGUGCAUGGUUGUCGUCAGCUCGUGUCGUGAGAUGUUGGGUUAAG